rnacentral:rRNA from 1 species
CCUACGGGUGGCAGCAGUGAGGAAUAUUGGUCAAUGGCCGUAAGGCUGAACCAGCCAAGUAGCGUGAGGGAAGACUGCCCUAUGGGUUGUAAACCUCUUUUAUGCGGGGAUAAAGGUGUCCACGUGUGGAUGUUUGCAGGUACCGCAUGAAUAAGGACCGGCUAAUUCCGUGCCAGCAGCCGCGGUAAUACGCAAGGUCCGGGCGUUAUCCGGAUUUAUUGGGUUUAAAGGGAGCGUAGGCCGGUCUUUAAGCGUGCCGUGGAAUUUUGUGGCUCAACCAUGAGAGUGCGGCGCGAACUGGAGACCUGGAGUGCGCGGAAGGCAGGCGGAAUUCGUGGUGUAGCGGGGAAAUGCUUAGAUAUCACGAAGAACCCCGAUUGCGAAGGCAGCCUGCCGCAGCGUUACUGACGCUGAAGCUCGAAAGCGCGGGUAUCGAACAGGAUUAGAUACCCUAGUAGUC